rnacentral:rRNA from 1 species
AUGUCUCUUCCAAAUAGUCUGUUCCCCCCGCCCGCACCGGUGCUAUCUCGCUACUACACAUGUCACACCACUCCCCCUUCCCUUAUACUAGUUAAAUGGUGGUCGAAGCAUGGGGCUCGCGUGCCCGACCUGCAGACCCUUGCGAGGCGGGUCCUGAGGCAGACGUGCUUCGGCGCCACCAGGUACAACAUCGACUGGAGCCUGUCGGAGAAGCUGCACGCUGAGUGGGACGAGAUGACGCUUUCCGAACAGGAGAGGUUCCGGCAGAAGGAGUACGUCCACUACAGCAGCGUCCUCGCCCGCGCCUCCCCGCUCCUGCACGGUUCCUCCGUGAAGCAGCACGACAGGGUCACCUUGGUGCUGCAGGACUGGAUCAGACCGCAGAAACAGGCCGCUGGUCGCCACUGA